CGCACCAGGGGAAGAAACGCGUCGGGAGAGGGGAUGGCUAUAUUAGUGUUGCUGUCACUGGUUUGGUGCAAUUUUCCACAUUCACUUAAGAAAUGUCUUCACUUUUGUGCCGUUAAGUUUGAAGAAAAAGUACUGUGUCUCACAAUACAAUUGAAUUUCUUAUACUGCUGCCCUUAUGAUUUGGACUCUUACAAAUGACAGACUCCUUGUGACAGUUGUUUCACUGUUCUUCUGACAGACAUAUGACUUUUUAGAGCAUGGGUCCCCACACUUUUUCCGUGAAGGGCCAGAUAGUAAAUAUAGUCAGUAUUUUAGGCUUUGCAGGUAGUUCUGCUGGAACUACCCCACCCUGUCACUGUAGUGUACAGGCAGCCAUCACAGAGAUGCCUUGCAGGCAUGUAAGGUUGGGGCCUCAAGCUGGCCAAACGUUCAUUUGCCAGUGGGUGGGAUUUGGCUCCAGGGCCACAGUUACUGAUCCCUGCCUUAACCACUGAUUUCCAAAGACUUUAUAGCUGUGCCACCUUGGGUGUUACUUUAUUGCUGUUUCUUACUCUUCUAAAAGAAUGUCAGGAAAUUGAAUUGAAUUAAAAGCCAUUUGUUUGAGACUUGGAAGAAUGUCAUAAUGCCUCCUUUGUUAAUUGGUGAAGUCUUGAGUUAGCCACAAAAACAAAGUUAGGAAAAUCACAUUUGAAGCAGGGUGGUGGAUAUUCAAAGGCACUACUAUUGUAAUAUCAUUGAGUGAAGUUUGAACGUAUCACUGGAAUGCACAGUACCAUCUCCCGAAAUUAAAUAAAUAAAAGGAAAGAAACAAAAGGAGAAAGAAACAAUUGAUGGAAAACUAUGGGGCUUAAAUAAUUAGCUAGUUAAUAUUUGAAACCUUGGCCACUAGUGCCUCUUUGAGGGGAGGUAGGAAAUCAUGGCUCUUCAUGUCUUGGGUGUCCUGGAACAGUCCUGUUUUCAAAUUUGCCUGCAUUGUUUCAAAAGUACACUUGGCCAUUUUUGAGUAGGCAUCUUCUUUGGAUGAGGGAAUAUGGUCACCAUCUGGAAUAUACACAGAAGAAUCUGAAAUUCAAAAAUGUUUGGCAUUUUUGCCUAAAGAUUUUGGAGUGAGAGAAGGAAACAAGUACAAGACUUAUUGAAUUCGUGAAUAAUUCAUUGCUGCUUAUUGUAAGGUUAGAAUUAGAAUUUAGUUUGAGAGAAACAGUUAAGAUAGAAGGUUCUCCAGUGAUUUAGGUCAGCCCUUCUAAAAAUGUCAGGUGAGGAGUGGUGGCAGGUUCUGCUGCUUUAGUAGUCACUGCUCACUAUUGAUGAGCCCCUGCAGUUUACUGGGGCUGACCCUGGGUAAGCAGAUUCAUAGCUGUUAUCUCAGUUUAAGUAAUUGUUCCCAUCCUGUUUGAUGUGCAGGAGACUGAGACGCCAGGUUACCUAAGGUCUUGUAGCCAAGGGGAGGCAGGUCUGGGUUUGAAACAUUUCUCAUACUUUAACCCCUGUACUUUCUACCACAUCAUAUUAUUAUA